GGUGCUCACUUCGGCAACACAUACUAGAACUGGAACGGUACAGAGAAGGUUAGCAUGGCCCCUGCACAACGGUGACAUGCAAACUCAGGAAACCUUCUAUACUUUU